ACUAAAAAUCAUGUUACAAGUUUAUUUAAUGGUUAGUACAAAGUUCAAGUUUAAAUCAGCCCAAUAAGAAUGGCCAAGCAAUAACAUUCGACUUUUGUCCCUGACGGCAAGCUUUAUCUCUCCCUCCCUAUUUCGAUCUCUCUGUCUAAUAUAUGUUACCGUUUAUUCCAAGUUUGAUUCCAAUUCCUCCAUUUUUCAAUCGAAUCGAUCGUAUCUCUUUCUCCCUCUCUCUCGAUCUCUCCACCCAAUAUGUAUUUUUGUUUUCAAUUCAAUUUGAGUUCCACCAUUUUUCAAAUCAAUCGAAUCGAUCGAAUCCGAUAAGCAUGGGCGACCUUCUCAACAUCGAUUCUCUGGAGCUCGAGUUCCCCUUUGAAUUUCUUUUGCAUACAUCAUUAGUUCUUGAACGCUUGAGAUUUCUACGAAUCCAAUGAUCUAUUGCAACACCAACUGCACAAGUUCUUGUUGAUGUAUCGAGCGUUCGAAAAUCAAAAGCGAGUUGUGUUUGCCAGUUUCUUCAGGUGCUGAAUGAUUCCGUUAAGGCGAAGUUCAUCGAAGAGCAUCCAGAGAGGUCAACCCAUCCUUCUUUUCUCAGUUUACAUGUAGUCACUCAGUGAGAAUGAGAAGAACGAAUUCACCAACCUCUUCUCUUGCUACGUAAGGUAAAUUGAAUUGAAUCGAAUCGAAUUUUCUUGUUUUUAUUAUAUUUCUCUGUUUGGUUGAUGAGAAAAUGAUGAAAAAAUUGGUACUGAAAUCUGUGUGAAUUUGUGUAUCUUGGAUUGGCACUUUGAUGGAAUUUGAUAUGACAAUGCAUGUUGUAGUGGAAGAGAAGCACAUGCUCAAAGAGGAAGGGGAAGGAAUCGCAUGUCCGUUGGAUGGUAGUAGGUUGCUUUGCAAUUUCAAAGACUAACUGUGUUCUUUUGUGCAUCACGUGGAGUUUCAUGUUCAAGUACACACUUGUGUAUAUCAUUGAGCCAUUUAGGCAAUUCAUUAGGUUUUAAGAGAGAAAUCAAUCUCUUGGAGGGCGAAUUAUGAAAACCCAUUUUAUACAUUUCUGUAAAACAUGUUUUAGUCUGACCUUGAUUCAGGUAGCAGGUCGACUGAAGAGUCAUCAACCAUUCAUGUGGGUGAAAUUUUGAUUGGGUUGAAGCCCUUGUACACAAUCCUAUAUUAAUAGGGAACAUAAUAUCGAUAAACAUUGAAAGUUAAUCGAUUUUUUUUAA